ACUAACCACUCUUUUAUGCUCUCCAUUUAUUUCCAACACACGAAGUCGAUUAUCUAACAACACUCUCAAUAUACACUCGACUUCACACUUUUCUUUUCUUUUUCUCUUUUUUUUUCUUUUCUUUUUCUUUUUCUUUGUAACUAAUUUUUUUUUCUUUUCUUUUCACAACUUUCUAGAGCUUAUAAGAGUAAAUAGUAGCUCAAUAUCAUCCCUUCUUUUUCACAACCCACUAUGAAUAUUCACCACACGAAGAUCCCCAUAUACUUCAUCACCCCCUAUCAUCCGGCUAAAGAAUAAAAGCUAAAUAGGCUCAAAGUGGAUAACAAAGGAUAAUUUUUUUUCAAGGAUAGUGUUUGGGAAAAAUUGUGGCUAACAAAAGAUGGCCUAAAAUCAUCUCAUAAUCCUG
rnacentral:lncRNA from 1 species